UUUCCGUAGGUGAACCUGCGGAAGGAUCAUUAUCGUGCAAAACGUGUGAGAGGUGCACCUCGAGGUUGUCGCUGAUGCUCGUGCACGCCGGAGCAUGUCCUCUCACAUGACACAAUCCAUCUCACCCUUUGUGCACCACCGCGUGGGCACCCUUCGGGAUCAGACCGAUCUCUCAGGGGACUCGCGUUUUCACACAACACACCCCCCUUUUAAAAAGUGUAGAAUGACCUCAUUUAUUUGAUCAGUACAACUUUCAACAACGGAUCUCUUGGCUCUC
rnacentral:misc_RNA from 1 species